UCGAGUAUCGGGUGCUCUAACACCCUACUCUCACCCUAUGUUGACUUGUAACCGUUGCUUUGGCGGGCCGGUGGGCUACCCACCGCCGGGCGGCGCCUGGAGAGCGCCCGCCAGAGGACCAAACAAAACUCUUUGUAACCAGUAUACGUCUGAGCAAGCGAGAAUGACCA
rnacentral:misc_RNA from 1 species